UACGGAGGGGGCUAGCGUUGUUCGGAAUUACUGGGCGUAAAGCGCGCGCAGGCGGUCCUUUAAGUCUGAUGUGAAAGCCCACGGCUCAACCGUGGAGGGUCAUUGGAAGCUGGGGGACUUGAGUGCAGGAGAGAAGAGUGGAAUUCCACGUGUAGCGGUGAAAUGCGUAGAGAUGUGGAGGAACACCAGUGGCGAAGGCGACUCACUGGCCCGGUACUGACGCUGAGGUGCGAAAGCGUGGGGAGCAAACAGG
rnacentral:rRNA from 1 species